CUUUAUUGUUAUGUUGUAAAUAACUAACGAAAACCAAGUUUAAACAAAAUAGCUUAACCAUAUGACAUUUAUACUUAUAUUGUUUAUAUAUAUUAUGUUCCCUUCAUUUCAUAAUUGGUUAUCAAUGAUAGCAGAUGGUACAUUUCCGCCUAUCCCAUAUAUAUUAAAUACUGUCACCAAAAAACGUCCACCCUUGUAUCUUUGACGGUGAUGUAUAAUUCUUGUUUUAUAAGAUAACGAGUAUGUUUGAACUCAAUCAUAUUCGUCUAAUUCUAC
rnacentral:lncRNA from 1 species